rnacentral:rRNA from 1 species
AACGAACGCUGGCGGCAGGCUUAACACAUGCAAGUCGAACGCCCCGCAAGGGGAGUGGCAGACGGGUGAGUAACGCGUGGGAACGUGCCUUUCGGUUCGGAACAGACCCGGGAAACUGGGAUUAAUACCGGAUACGUCCUUAGGGAGAAAGAUUUAUCGCCGAAAGAUCGGCCCGCGUCUGAUUAGCUAGUUGGCGGGGUAAUGGCCCACCAAGGCGACGAUCAGUAGCUGGUCUGAGAGGAUGAUCAGCCACACUGGGACUGAGACACGGCCCAGACUCCUACGGGAGGCAGCAGUGGGGAAUAUUGGACAAUGGGCGCAAGCCUGAUCCAGCCAUGCCGCGUGAGUGAUGAAGGCCUUAGGGUUGUAAAGCUCUUUCGGCGGGACGAUAAUGACGGUACCCGCAGAAGAAG